rnacentral:rRNA from 1 species
GUCGUACAGGUCUCCGUAGGUGAACCUGCGGAGGGAUCAUUACAAGUGACCCCGGUCUAACCACCGGGAUGUUCAUAACCCUUUGUUGUCCGACUCUGUUGCCUCCGGGGCGACCCUGCCUUCGGGCGGGGGCUCCGGGUGGACACUUCAAACUCUUGCGUAACUUUGCAGUCUGAGUAAACUUAAUUAAUAAAUUAAAACUUUUAACAACGGAUCUCUUGGUUCUGGCAUCGAUGAAGAACGCAGCGAAAUGCGAUAAGUAAUGUGAAUUGCAGAAUUCAGUGAAUCAUCGAAUCUUUGAACGCACAUCGCGCCCCCUGGUAUUCCGGGGGGCAUGCCUGUUCGAGCGUCAUUUCACCACUCAAGCCUCGCUUGGUAUUGGGCAACGCGGUCCGCCGCGUGCCUCAAAUCGACCGGCUGGGUCUUCUGUCCCCUAAGCGUUGUGGAAACUAUUCGCUAAAGGGUGUUCGGGAGGCUACGCCGUAAAACAACCCCAUUUCUAAGGUUGACCUCGGAUCAGGUAGGGAUACCCGCUGAACUUAAGCAUAUCA